rnacentral:lncRNA from 10 species
GGAUCUAGGCUUAUACAAUCAAGUGAAGAAACUAUCAGGUCUGGUAAGAAUAAGAGGAAACAAAAUGUUAUUGGCAUGCUCAAUAAUGAUAAAGCCAAGAUGUCACCUGCCAGUACAAUGAAGAGGGACUGGGGUCUUGGCACUAAAAGUCUCCCUGAAUUGCCAUCAUGUCAUGAAAAAUACUUUGUUUUAAACUUAAUGGAAUGGAUUGUCAUUUUGGUGGAUUUUUGCCAGUGAAGAAUUUAUCAGACUCAAUAGCCUCCAUCACUUGGCAGGACAGAAAGGCCUCGAAAGCCUCUUUCAGUAUCUCUGAGCAUACCUAACAUUUAGAAAGGUAGGCCUGUGUAGCAAGUGUGAAAGUGUUCCUCUCCAUGCCCUUACGGCUUUACUCAACCAUGUUUCCUCUUUUAUCAUUUAUUGGAAAAACCUUUUACUAUCUCUUCUUACUUCCUUUCCUUUGUUAGCUACAAAGGGAAGAUUUUCUUUUGCAAAUCCUUAGUAAUUAAAUGAGCACUUCAGUGGCUGUAGCCCUCAAUGGCCUGUUUCCUAGGUUUUGCCUUUGACAGUCAUAUUUUGCAAAGGCCCCUGAGAUGACUCUGCAUCUUCCCCUACUCAACGCUAAACCAACUGAAGCCCGUGCUCACUGCAUGAAGGAGGAAAAGAUUCAUUAAGGGCACUUCAUUAAGAGGCUGAAAUGGGAAGCUCUAAAUGCGCCUGAACCAACUACAAUCCAGAGAAGCUGUCUAUUAGGAGUGCCACAAAGACAGUUUCGGAAGCUAAACUCCAGCUCCAGUGCAUCGGAUUAGGAAGAGUGAUGGGAUUAGUGUUUAAUGACUUGGGGCAGGAGACAAAGGGAAUUUCGACAAAGAGGCUUAGAUAUGGAAGAAUUAACACUCUGUAUUCCAACCAGGCCUCUGAUGACUUCCAGCAUUCUUUUCAGACUCAAAAGCCAAGGGAAGGGAAUAAAAAAAAAAAAAAGAUGUGCAAAGCUUUAAUACUUUUCUAACUUUUUUUAUUGCAACAACAAUACAGAGGAAAUAAAAGAACCCUAUUCACUCCUUUGGACUUGAAACCUCUUUUAAAAAUAAGCAUCUACAAUUGUAUAAUUAGCCCCAAGGUGAGCUUGCCCAGGGCCUCAAACAUGUGCCAGAAUGCUUCUCUGCUUCCUAAUGCUAGGGCAAGUCACAAACUGAUGUGGACACUAAAGCAAAACCUAUGGUAGCAGAGGCCCAGCUAAGUGGCUGUACAAGAUUUUUUUCUCUCCAUGGCUGUUUAUGUUACAGGUGCAACUGAAGGAACAGAGAAACUGUGUAAUUGUAAAACCUCCUUGUGGCCCCACAUGGCUCAUACUCAAAUGAUUCCAGUGUCUAUGGCCUGAGAAGUGCUUCAUGAAAUGAGGAACAGUGCCUCAAGUCAGAGAUUGGCAUGGUGAGUCGCCGGGAGGUGGAAAAGAGGCACAGCUUCAUUGAAGCUACAGUUGGCUGCAAGGAACCAUUUCAAAUCAUCUUAGUUCUACGGGGCCAUUCAGGUGGCAAAGGCCCAGGUAACAUUUGAUCAAGUUGCUACAGGGCUUGGACCUACUUUUAUUGCCCCUUACUUUUCCCACUAACAUUUUUGCUUGAAAUAUCGAUGUUUUUUUGGUGCAGCAAAACUCUUUUCCCACAGCUAAAUUGAAGUAGGGCAUAUGUGCUUCCCUCACCUCGCUCCCAGUCCCUCUUGACCCCGAAAUGGUCUAGCAGCCUGUGCUUUGUUAAACUGAAAAUGUGUAGAAAUUUUUAUAGAGAUAUUCAGCUAUAUAAAUAGCUUUGAAAUUUGUCAUAACUUUAAAAACAGGUCAAAAAGGAAAUUGAACAGCUAGUGAGUUUCUGUCUUAGUCCGUUUUGUGCUGCUAUAACAGAAUACCAUAAACUAGGUAAUUUAUAAACAAUAGAAGUUUAUUUGUCUCAAUGGCCAACAAGCAUAUGGAAAAAUGUUCAACAUCACUAAUUAUCAGGGAAAUACAAAUCAAAACCACAGUGCGAUACCACGUAACUUCUGCAAUAAUGGUCAUAAUCAAAAAAUAAUAAUAAAUAAAUAGAUGUUGGCAUGGAUAUGGUGAAAAGGGAACACUUUUACUGGGUUGGUGGGAAUGUAAACUAGCACAACCACUAUAGAAAACAGUAUGGAGACUCCUUAAAGAACUAAAAGUAGACCUACCAUUUGACCUAGCAACCCCACUGCUAUGUAUCUGCUCAGAAGUAAAGAAGUCAUUAUACAAAAAAGACACUUGUUACAUGCAUGUAUAUAGCAGUACAAUUGCCCAAAUGCCCAUCAAUCAAUGAGUGGAUAAAAAAUGUUAUAUACAUACAUAUAUGUGUGUGUAUAUAUACAUAUACAUAUACACACACACACACAUACACACACACACACACACACACACACAUAUACCAUGGAAUACUGCUCAGCCAAAGAAAGGAAUGAAAUAAUGGGAUUUGCAGCAACCUGGAUGGAAUUGGAGGCUAUUAUUCUAAGUGAAGUAACUCAGGAAUAGAUAACCAAACAUACAUGUUCUCACUCAUAUGUGGGAACUAAGCUAUGAGAAUGCAAAGGCAUAAGAAUGAUAUAUUGGAGUUUGGAGACUCAAAGGAAAGAGUGGGGGAGAGGGAGGGAUAAAAGACUACACAUUGGGUACAGUAUACAAUGCUUGAGUGAUGGGUGCAACAAAAUCUCAGAAAUCCCCACUAAUGAGCAUAUUCAUGUAACAAAAUACCAUCUGUUCCCCAAAACUUAUUGAAAUAAAAAAUAAAAAAUUAAUGAUAAUAACAAUAAAAAGAAGUUUAUUUGUCUUAUGUUUCUGGAGGC